rfam:Enterococcus cecorum DSM 20682 = ATCC 43198 genomic scaffold adfme-supercont2.1, whole genome shotgun sequence.
CGUUAUGGCUAGGACAAUGGGAAGCUUGUGAAGCGUGUCAGGUCUGGAAGGAAGCAGCACUAAGCAUGUCUUUCCAUGUGUCUGAUUGAUUACAUCAGUA